UUUUCAGCUUGUUGCUGGUAUUUUAUACAACUUCACUGACGUGGUUUGGUCCCCAACCAACUGCUCCAAGAAGACCACCCACUCGCUCAAUGGAUGUGUCCCUACUAGAAUUUAUACAUGCCCCCCUUGUUACUUCGGUGUGUUGGAGCAGGCAUGGUUGCAACAACCGUACCAGCUGAACAGUAACAACUGUGUACUCAAACCCCACCGCCUUUCGAAGUAGCUGAUGACUGUGCAUCAUUGGAUUGACUUCUCAGUCAGGAGGGGAGCACUUUUUGAACCUUGAUUAAAAAAUAAAAAGAAAAGGAAAA